AUUUAAAUAGUUUAAUAUAAAAUAUUGAUUUGUGGUGUCAGUGAUAUAAGUUUCUUAUUUUAAAUA
rnacentral:tRNA from 1 species